GUCGCUUUCCAAGGUCUAGAUGGAUAAUGUCAUUGAGUUGAUAUUAUAUAAUUUAUGAAAUCCCAAUUUCAUAUUCAUUGUGAAACACAAGUGUAGUCUUUUAAAAGCCAAAAAUCCAUCUGUAUCAAGAAUUCUUCCAAUGAAUAUGAUAAUAGGCUCAUUUAAAAUUUUGAGUCUAAACUUUAUCGGCUCAGCGAUUUACCAGACUUUUUCAUCGAGCAAUCAAAGUCGUUGCCUAGUGUGAUUCUCUUUACUGAUUUAUUCGUGUGUAAUUUUUAAUCUUAUAAGAUGUUGUAUAUAAUAUAUGCCACUUAUUCUUUCGAUGGAACAGGGACAAGAUGAGCUGUGGAAAUGCAGUUGUUGAGGUCAUAUGAAGGAAACAGAAAUGAUGGAAUCAUCAGGCCAAAUGAUACAGUGGUGCACAGAUUUCCUUGACAAGCUGUUGUUGAAUAGGGCAGUAAGUUCCUUCCCUAUUAGGAGUAACUCACCGCCACCGCCAAGAUUCAGUGAAAAACCUGGAAGAUUAUCUGCUGAAAUCAGGAAAGUCCAGUCAUGCCUCCAGUGUUCAGAGACCACAGCAGCAACAACAACAGAUGCCACAAGCACAACCGCAACGGCAUAAGUUAUUCCAGCAAUAAUGAAUGUUAAAGAAUUUUAUUGCUUUUUGAUGGCAACUUAUCGUAUUUUAUUUUCUUGAU